rnacentral:lncRNA from 1 species
CACAAAUAACUCGCAUAGGAGAGAGUCUCUUCAGGUUGCUCACAGUCGCACGAAGAUGUCCAGCUUCUACAGAACGUCCACACAAAGACUGACGCAGAUCAGACUCCUUGGAAGUACUGGCUUGCAAGGAUCUUUGAAGGCUGAAUUGUCUCUUCUUCUUUUGAUCUAGUGGAUGCUCCAAAGGAGAAGAAGAUCUAGAGGAGGAAGAAGAGAGAAAAGAGAGC